rnacentral:lncRNA from 1 species
CCACUAAUCCCUCAUCACAAUGCUACUCUCCUCCGUCGCACCACCAUCGACGGCCUUGUACGGUCAGCCUCGUCCCGAUGUGGUUGGUGCAGGUCCUACGAUGUGAAGCGCCGAUCUGCACGCUGCCUCGAUUGUGUUGAAAUUUUUCCUAUUGCAUCUACUGUGCGGUGGUGGUGGUCGUGGUGGCGGGUGGUCUGUGUGUGUGGUGGCAGGGGGUUAAUCUGGUG